CUUGUAUCUCUGCAGCUCCUGCAACGCAGAAAGUAAAUCCAUUUUCAGAGAAUGAAGAGUUGCUUCACUUGAGAACAGAAAGUGUUAAGAACUUGCCAGGAGCAACUUGUGUUCCUGAGAGUGUGCCUUUCUUUGGAAGCUGCAGAACAAUGUGAGGGCAGGACUGUGAUUGGACACCUGCCUCCUCAGCUCUGUGGCAUUUCGCAGACAGCUUAGAGUUGGUGUGGCUGGGUCAUUAAGCCUCAUUCAGUUGAUGUCAGUGGAUGUGGUGCGGACAAGGGGCAUGUCUCUUCCACAGCCUGUCUCCUCUUGGUAAGAUGAAAAGUGUGUAAAGCUCCACGGUCCAUAAACUCAUGACUUACAAUGGGAUUAGUUUAAAAAUGGA